rnacentral:lncRNA from 1 species
UUACUAAUAAGUAUAACUACCAAUUGGAGGCAUUUCAGUGUAAUUGAUCUGAACACUUUGAAAUGGUCUCAGUGCUGGAUUUCUUCCACCAAGGCGCAAUUUCCUUAGAUCCUGCUUAUUAGCUUUUUUUACAUGUUAAGCAACUAUCUAUAACUUGUUUGGCCAGGGUGUAAAUUCUUAUACACCCAUAAACCCGGAGAACUGCAUUGCACAUUGCUUGGGGUCCCCAAUGGGUCCCUUGAUGUAAUUGAGACAAGACUUCCCUCAUGAGAGGUUUUGACAACAUUUCCCUUUGAUCUGAUAAUAUCCAUUUCCUAUCCGCAUUUUCUUUAGCUCCUAUUUUUAUCAACGUCUUUUGUUCAAUGGAAGAGAAAACGGGUUACAGUAGGAGGAGGGCAUGGAGUUAAAUGGAAGAAAUGGCAACUUGUUUUGCUAUUUUAUUGUAACCGACUGAGUUAUAGAGAGAAUGCCACAGUCUGAGACUAAUUCAGUGAUCCUUUAUUGCCAGCAACCGAGAGACGGCUAGAGCUCAAAAUUCUCUCAGCCCCGAAGAAGGGGCUACACAUCUUUUUACACCUUGGUCUAAAGAGGGGAGGAGGAGUGUAGCUGAAGCAAUUUUUUACAGAAGCAGAACAGGCAAAAAAGUUGAAAGAUAAAUGGUUACAGAAACAGUAAUAAGAAAAUAAACAGUUCCAGGUGCAGGGGCUUAAAUUAUCACAAAGUGAUAAACGCAAAGGCUUUGGGCACCGUCAACCGAGUGCGUUCCCAGGAGCUGCUGGUACAGCUUGCCUCAGUAUCUUAUCAGUAAGCGCAUUCUUGGAUGUGCUUGGAGUCAGCUUGCACCAGUUAUGUCCUUAAGGGAGGGGGACAAGGGGCUGCAAGUGAAGAAACCAAAAUGGAGUCUGUCCAGCUCUCUCAGCUAAGAGAGAGUCAAUCAGGUUAAAAGAAGUUAGGGUAUCACAUUUCCCACUCGUGUUUGGGGGAAUCAGAUCAUUGAUUCCUCGGUUAUAACAAGGGUGUUAUAUUGGGUUCUAAGAUACAUAAGAUUGACAGAAGCUAUGCGUUGCUUUACAAAAUUAAGAAACCAAUUUAAUAUACAAGGCCUGAAGACUAACCCUAACAAGAGGAGGAGAAGGGGGUCCCGCCAACCCAGUAAUUAGAGUAGUUAGCCAGGGAUUCCAGUUAAACAUGCUUUGGUACUUUGGUACUCCAGGAAUGAGAAAGGUGGUGUUACUUUCUUGUUCCUUCUGGCAUCUAUCUAGAUUUUCUCGAACUCUUUGAAGAGUAUUUUUUAUGACUCCAGACUGAUUGGCAUAGAAACAACAACUUUCUUCUAGAGCUGUGCAUAAACCUCCUUGGGAGAUAAAUAGCAGAUCUAAGCCUCGGCGGUUUUGAAGAACUACUUCAGCUAGAGACUCUACCUGGGCAUGUAGUAUAUUUAUGGCUGAUUGGAGAUUGCUUAAAUCAGCAUCUACCUGUUGAGAUAGUGAUAUUAGUCCAGUUUCUCCUUGAAUCAGGGCAGUCGUGCCAAUAGCUGCUGACGUAGCUAUGCUAAGGCCAGCUAGAAGGGGUACAAGGAGUAGGGCAGCUCGGUGAAACCUGAAAUGCAAUUCAGGGGGAGCAAUGAGAAGUUGUCCUUCUGGCCCACUGUACAUGUAGAUCUGGGGGAGUACAUGAAUCAACAUGCAUAGGAGAGGUCCAGGUUCAGUCCCAUUGAUGCAGCGAGUGAGGCCUGAAAUGCAGGCCAACCAGGUAUUUUUGGGUGCCUGGUAGGAGACUGAGGGGUUUAAGGAAGUAAGGAGAGACUCACUACAAGUAGCCUGAAAGGGAGAAGCAGGUAAGUUAUACCUUGCGCUAAUUAGACAGAAGGCAUUCCCUGACACAUCUCCUAGUGUAAGGGCAUGGGGGCACGUAUGACAAGAAAGAGAGUCCAUUUUGAGCAUGGCUUCUACUCCUAAUCCAACAUAAUAUGGGGGUUUGGCCUUUCGGCACAACCAGCAAUCUCAGGCUAGUUUAGGCUUGGUGAGAUUAAGGAGGUGAUGUAUCCCGUCCAAAAUGGACAUCGGGCUGGGUUGGAGGUAUUGUCAUUGCAGCUGGGGUCUCAGAACCAGGAAUGGCAGUGGGACAGUUAAAUCGACUCUCUCUGGGUGUUUUUGGAACAUAGGGUCACCUAAAUCAGUUAAAGUUCUGAUUGGCUUCAUGGGACCAGGAAUUUUUUCUGGAUGGUGAACAUAGUUCCAACAUCAAAUCCUGAAAUAUAAAGCCUUAAUCCCUAUGACAUGCUGUAAUACCAUUGAGUUAAACUAGGGUUACGGAGAGUUAUAGUAAGAGGAUUACAAUUUCCUAUAGUACACGGCUUAGGAUGGGAAGCACAAGCUAUGGAAAGGGUUGAGGAUCAGGUUCAUCCUCCAGAGUAAGUGGCCAAGGUUACACACAUGCAGUAAGGGCAGAAAAACUGGUAAGAAUCUCGACAACUAGAGUCAGGGCGAUUUCCAGGACAAAGGUAAAAGUCAACGCUCUGGAGCCUUUUUUCUGCACCCUUAGAACUUCCACAUCCAGUUUGGCUUCUGGUGUGUCCGAACCCUGCAGCAAGGUCAGCGUUCCCUGCUCUCAUGAUCGGCAGAUUGCAUUGCUCUUCAAGGGUAUGGGCAGGGUCGGGGAACAAAGCACAUAAACCGACUACAAAAGAGACUUCCUUGGAGGGUCCCACCUUCCAAGUGGUGUUUGCAAACACACAUCCUGUCAUGAAGGAAGUGAGGAGAAAAGAGUAGGAAGGGGCAGAGGACAUAACAGGUGGAAACAGACAGAAGAGGUAAAUAAAAAGAAUUAAUUCGAUAGCUUUACUCAACUUAGGCGCAGUUUUAAGGGGCCUGGCCUAGGCUUGGGGACCCAUUUUUUUUGCUGGGCUUUGUUGGCCUUUUUGAUGCGAGAAUGAUGAAUCCAAGCAGGAGUGCCGUCCACCUUCAGAGCUGUUGGUGUGGUGAGGAUGACAGUAUGAGGUCCUUUCCAGGCAGGAGUCAGUCCUUUUUUCUGGAACUUUUUAACAUACACUAGGUCACCCAGCUGGAAAGAGUGGCAGGGCCCAGUCUGGUCAGGAACUGGGCUGGGGUGUGCUCCCCUGACAAGCAGCUGGAUGAUGUCUUGUACCCGUUGGAGAGACUGCAGGUACUGUAACAAGUUAGCUUGUGAGAUUUCUGCUAAAUGGGUAUCCUUUAGCUUAGGCAAGAUAGGCGGAGCCCUUCCAUACAUGAUUUCAAAAGGUGAAAACCCAGCCUGGUAAGGGGUGCAUCUUACUCUAAGAAGGGCUAAAGGAAGGAGCUUUACCUAGUUUUCACUGGUUUCUAGGAUUAAUUUUGCAAGAGUACUUUUUAGGAUGGGGUUCAUGCAUUCUACUUGUCCAGAGCUCUGGGGUCGAUAGGCACAAUGGAGUUUCCAUUGAAUGUUUAAUGCCUUGCUGACCGACUGAGCUAUGGACGAGGUGAAGGCUGGUCCAUUAUCAGACCUUAUUACAACAGGCAGUCCAUGUUGAGGGAUGAUUUCAUUGAGUAAAAGCUUAACUACCGUGGUAGCAGUUUCGUUUUUGGUGGCAAAUGCCUCAGUCCAUCCAGAAAAGGUGUCUACUAGCACCAGGAGGUAUUUAUACCCUGCCAAGUGUGGUUUUACCUCUGUAAAGUCAAUUUCCCACCUUCCUCCUGGCAAGCCUCCCUGGAGGCGGUGGCCUGGGCUGGGCUUAGGACCUUGCUUGGUGUUUACUUGGGCACAAGCCGUUUACUGGAGAGCUGCUUGGUUAGUUAAGUCCUGAAGGUGGGGGAUCUUGAAAUGGCUCCUUAGAAGCUGGGCCAGUUUUACUCCUCCUAAAUGGGUGGUAGAAUGUAGAUGAUUGAUAAAAGUUUCCCCAAGGGCUUGGGGCAUGAAGAUUCUGGAAUCAGGAAGAAUUCACCAACCUUCCUGAUUUUUACUGGCUUGAAGAUCCGAAGCUUGUUUUUCUUCCUCUGGGGAGUAUUCUGGGUAGUCUGCCCAGUCAGUUGUGGAAAGGACACAGAGGGCAGCAGGGUUAAAGGCACGACCAGGAGCUGAGCUGCCUCUCAAGCUGCAGAGUCUGCUCUUUGGUUACCACGAGCAAUGGCCAUGUCUUCUCUUUGAUGUCCUUUGCAGUGAAUUGCAGCCACCUGUUGAGGGAGCCAAACAGCUUCAAGCAGGGCUAAAAUUUCUUCUUUGUUGUUGACACUCUUUCCUGCUGAGGUGAGUAGCCCUCGCUCUUGAUAGAUGGCUCUGUGUACAUGUACAGUAGCAAAAGCAUACCUGCUGUCAGUGUAGAUGUUAAUACAUUUGUCUUUACCCUAUUGGAGGGCCUGAGUCAGGGUUACCAACUCAGUCCUCUGUGCCAAGGUACCUGCCGGCAGUGCCUGGGCCUACAGUACAUCUGUCUCCAUAGUAAUGGCCACACCAGCCUUCUGUACUCCCUGUUCAAGGAAGCUGCUACCAUCUGUAAACACGGUGGCAUCCACCUCCUUUAGAGGCACAUCUUGGAGAUGAGGUCAGCCAGUUUCCAUAGUUUCUAACAGUUCUUGGCAGUCAUGGACAGGUGUGGUAAGGUCUGGAUCAGGGAACAAGGUAGCUGGAUUUAAACACCUUGUGGGAGAGAAAGUUAAACGCGGCUGAUCUAACAGUAAACUCUGAUACCGCAAGAUGCGAGCAUUCGACAUCCAUUUGCCAGAAGCACUUUGUAGCAAGGUCUCUACAGCAUGAGGAGCCGUAAGGGUUAAAUUCUGGCCCAGAGUCAGUUUAUCAGCCUCCUGGACCUGGCUUGCUGUUGCCACUAUGGCUCACAGACAACUUGGCCACCCAGAGGCCACAGGGUCCAGUCUCUUAGACAAAUAGGCCACUGGGUGUUGCCAUGGCCCUAAAGUCUGAGUAAGUACCCCUUUAGCGACUCCUUGGUUUUCAUGAACAAAAAGGUGAAAUGGUUUUGAGAUAUUUGGGAGGGCAAGAGCAGGGGCCUCAGUUAGUGCCUUCUUCAGAUUUUGAAAAGCCUGUUCUUCUUUGUCAGUCCAAACCAGCGGGGUAUUCCCUCCAGUAGUGGUGUACAGGGGUUUGGCAAUUUCCAUGAACCCCAAUAUCUAUAGGCGACCAUAUCCCACGGUGCCCAGGAAUUCAUGUACCUGUCUCUUAGUGGUGGGAGUGGGGAUUUGAAGGAUGGCUGCCUUUCGAGCACUGGUGAGUGCCCUUUUUCCUUCAUUUGUCUCAUACCCUAGGUAGGAAAUGCUGGGAAGAAAAAGCUGGGCCUUCUUGGCUGGGACCUGAUACCCGAAUUCCUGAAGGAGUCCUGUACAGGCUGGUAAUCAUUUGUUCCGGGUUUCUGGACCGGCAAAAAUGGAAUAUUCCAGGCGAUCUCACAUGGUGUGAGUAUACCAGCUUGUAAUAGUUGCUGAAUAUGAGGAUUAAUUCCCUCUAUAGCCCACAGAAUCAUAGGAUAUUGUUUGACCUGGACCGGCAGGGUGGUGGCCAGGAGUUCUACAACAGCUGGCAGAUGGUGGUUUGCCAGUCCUGGGAGGUAUGAGGAAACAGAGUCUGUAAAGCCAGUAGGAGAGGAUUACUUUUAUUCUCCGGCAGUUGUGAGGGUGAAACUAAGAGAUAUUCCUCUGACCGAAGGGUGGUUAGCAGGAGCUGAGCAGUAGGGGGCAUUGUGUCCCCUAACAUGAGGUGAGUUUGUUGGGCCGAGAAGGAGAUGGACGCCUGUAGCUUAUGAAGCAGGUCUCAUCCGAGGAGGGAGAAGGGGCACUCUGGGACCACGAGGAACAAGUGGGUUACUCUUUUCUGUCCUAAACUCACCUCUCGUGAGUGGGUGACAGGAUAUUCCUGAAUAGCUCCAGUAGCCCUUUACUCAGCAACCUUUUUAUUAGACACUGCCUAAGGGUGUCUGGAGUACUGAGUGUUCCACCCCGGUGUCAAUUAGGAAGCGUACAGGCUGGCCCCCCACUGUGGUGGUCACCAUGGGUUCCCGGGGCCAAGUGACAAAGAGCCCUGGCCCCGUCAAUCAUCAGAUUCCUCUGCUGCGGGGCAGGGUGAGGACCUUUUUCUUUUCUGGUUUCUCCUCUGGCUUUAAUGGGCAUUCCUUUCUCCAGUGUCCAAUCUGCUUGCAAGAAGCACAUUGGUUUCUUUAUAGGGGAGUCCUCUCACGUUUCUGGCCUUCCUGGUGGGGACUCGGGGUCCCCUGGUCAGUGCUCUGUGAUGGGGGCCCUUCCUUUUUGGCUUCUUGGAUGGCAGCCACUAAGCUUUUUGCCUGUCUUUUUGAUGCUUUGUCUGCAGCCCUUUCAGCUGCCUGAGCUACCUGUUUUUGCUUUUCAAAUUCUCGAUUGUCGAAAACUCUCUGGGCUAUCUCUAAAAGCUGGCUGAUGUAAGGAAAUACUUUCUGGCUUCUCUUCAGAUAUGGUCCCUCUCUUCAGAGGUGAAAAGGGAUGAAAGGAGUUGCUGACACUCAUCCCAGGUGGGCCGGUGAGUCUGGAGCACAGACUCCAUCAGUGAGGUUAAGACCUGGGGCUUUUCAGAAAAGGGGGGAUUAUGAGCCUUCCAGUUGUACAGGUCAGAAGUAGAGAAGGGGACAUAAACUAAAAAUGGAGCACAACGCCCACUGCCCAAAGGGAUUUGGGCCUCUGUCAGUGGGAGGAGCGGGGCCACCUCCUCCGGCUGAGGCCAUAAUUGGGAGGAUAUAGGCAGAGAGGCCACAGAGGAUGUAGUUGAGGAGACAAGGGAAGAUUCUGGGGGAGGAGGAGGGUUAUAGGGUGGUGGAAAUGGGUGAAGAAAACUUUCCUCUUCUUCAGAAGGAGGCAGUACAGGAGGAAUCGAGGGAGCUGAGGGUGGAGGCAAAAGUGAGGUCUGGCUAAAAAGGACCUUGGAGGUAGGAUCACGAAUGGCUACAGAGUUUUAUCACGAGUGGAGCCAUGAAGGAGAGCUCUGGACUAAAUCUAGCCAUUGAUCAAUGUAGGGAAACUGAUCGGGGUGACCGGGAGUUCCAACAACGACCCACCACACAGCCUGAACAGCUGUGAAGUGUAGUGACCCGUCUGGGGGCCACCCAGUUCCAAACUUUGGCCAUUCUACUUCGCAGAGUGUCCAGAGUUUGCCUUUUUUAAGGCGGACCCCGUAAUCAUCUGAGAAGCCUAGAGAGAAAUUCUGCAACAUACACUGGAGAGGACUCCAAUCUUUAUGGGGCCGGGAAGAAGAGUUUACUAUUCUGGAGGCAAUUAACAAGGAAAGGCAGGACUGGGAUGGCCAGCCCAACCGACUAAUGAGGAAUUUGACCUCCUGGGAUAGAAAAUCUGUACUAAGGACCUUGAAGAAGUCCUUGCCCAGUCAUUUUGGGCAGUAUCGACGAUCCGACAUAUGAAAUUUAGACAGACACUAAACAGGACAAUAGGCACUGGGGUAUAUAAACAAGCAUGGCAAUUUUUAUAGACAGACAAGGGGAGGGGGUCCCGUGAUGGGAUCAGUCAGAUGCCCUCCUGGCUGCUCCCCUUUCGGGGACUUAGGCUCCUCUUGGCAUUGGCAGGCUGGUAUAAACCCCUGGCUUGGAUCGAGCUAUGCCUGAUGCCGCCCUAAGCCUUAUGAGGUCACCACGGAACCACAGGUGAGGGCCUUCUCGAAUUCCCUAGCUUUCACCCUGGAGCUACAAACUGGAAAUUCAAGCGCAAGCCCUUGAACUCCACAUUCACUCACUCACUCACUCACUCAGAGUUUAUUACAAUUUUUAUACCCAUUCUAAAACAGAGAUCUCCCGGAGACCUGAAUGAGAGAGGGAGAAGAGAUAGAGAGAGAGAGAGACUAGACUUAACAGAGAAUCCUGACAGAAACCAGGACUCUGUCCUCCAGUGUCCUGGAGCAUGGACAGAGUCUGAGGGAGGACCUUCGUCAGGGCCGUUUCCCUCCCAGAGAGACAGAGUCAGAUCUGACUUACCU